rnacentral:rRNA from 1 species
UGGGGAAUCUUGGACAAUGGGGGAAACCCUGAUCCAGCCAUGCCGCGUGAGCGAUGAAGGCCUUAGGGUUGUAAAGCUCUUUCAGCGAGGAAGAUAAUGACGGUACUCGCCGAAGAAGCCCCGGCUAACUCCGUGCCAGCAGCCGCGGUAAUACGGAGGGGGCUAGCGUUGUUCGGAAUUACUGGGCGUAAAGCGCACGUAGGCGGAUCAGUCAGUUAGAGGUGAAAGCCCAGGGCUCAACCCUGGAACUGCCUUUAAUACUGCUGGUCUGGAGGUCGAGAGAGGUGAGUGGAAUUCCGAGUGUAGAGGUGAAAUUCGUAGAUAUUCGGAGGAACACCAGUGGCGAAGGCGGCUCACUGGCUCGAUACUGACGCUGAGGUGCGAAAGCGUGGGGAGCAAACA